UACAGAGGUCUCGAGCGUUAGGCGGAAUCACUGGGCUUAAAGCGUGUGUAGGCGGAUCGGUAAGUACCUUGUGAAAUCCCACAGCUUAACUGUGGAACUGCUUGGUAUACUGCCAGUCUUGAGCCAGCUAGGGGCUACCGGAACAAAUGGUGGAGCGGUGAAAUGCGUAGAUAUCAUGUGGAACGCCAAUGGUGAAAACAGGUAGCUGGGGCUGUGCUGACGCUGAGACACGAAAGCCAGGGGAGCAAACGGG
rnacentral:rRNA from 1 species